GUCCCCGUAGCGUAGUGGUCACCGUUUGUGUGGCUUUAUCUUCUCAGCGUUUAUAUGUUUAUCUAGCGAAACUUGAAUUUAAGGCUGCGAAAGACGACGGUUCGAAUCCGACCGGAGACA